CACAUCUCGCUGCAGGUUCUGUCGUCAUCUGAAUUUUACAUCUGGCAAGGUCAUCCUUGAAAGAGCAAUGUCCUUUUGGGCUGCCCCUUCUCAAGCUCGCUUUCCUGUUGUCUCUUAAGAAGAAAAAAGUCAAACCCUUGCCCUGCCCCUGGGCCACACGUGUGAUCAGCGAGUGUUGUUUCUGCCCCAAGCUCACCUUAUUUCUCCAGCCUCCAGAGACUUGAUGCUUCUGUUUGGCGUCUAUUUUUAGUGCCUCUGGGUGAAUGUCAUUGCCGCCGGAGGCUGACAUUUCAUACUCUGGGAACCUUGACCUGCUGCUUUUCCGGUUGUGAGCUGACCCUGCUUUUUUAUGCCCCAGAAGGAAAGAACAACGAUCAUUAACAAUCAGCAUCUUCUGGAAAAUCGGAAACGGAGCCUCCGUGAUCCGAGGCUGCCCUUAACCUCGGCUGUGCUGCCUGCAGUGGCCACCACAUGGCUCAUCUCCAGAAGGCUCCGCGGCUGCCAGGGUGACACGCUGGGGCCACCAGCCGUGUCAAAGCAGGGAAAGCGCAGUCGGUGCCGGGCUGGGAACCAUGGCCAGGGGUGGAGGAGGGUGAGGCGGAGUGAUAAAAACUCGGUGGAGAAAGCUGCUCUAACCAGGAGCCUCGCUGGAGCGGACAGAGGGUGGCAGCCCCUCCCCCGGCAGCCCAAGACAAACAGGGCGGCAGGAAGUUCCCACGCUCCCAGGGCUGGCACCCAGAGCCUCUGCAGUCACCUGCUGGGGGCUGGAGCUGCCAGGAGGAGGAGGGCGGGGCCUCAGCCGCCCACAGGUGAGCCUGGAGCCCUGCGGCCAGGGGGUGGGGCCAGCUGGAGCACAUCUGCUGAGCUCCUACUAGGAGCCAAGCACCUUGCGAAUGCCGUCUCCCCCGCGAGCCCUCACAAAAAUCCUACCAAACUAACAUUAAGCUUUGCAUUUCACAGAAUAGGAACCUGGGACCCGGAGAGGUGAAGUGAUAUCCUCGGGCCACCCAGCCCCGAAAGGGAAGAAUCAGGAUCUUGGACUCAGGCCCCUCUGGCUUCAAAGUCUGUGCUUUUUAGCCUUGUUGUGUAUCCACUCAGCAAACCUUUGCUGAAACCCUACCGCGUGCCAGGCUCUCAGCCUUGGCCCCAGGGCUGACCUUGUAUCCCGUAUCCCAGGGGUAGGGCUGUCCCUUCCCUUUAGUGACAUCGAUCAAGGGGCAGACCUUCUCCUUCUUGUCACCCAGCACAGUGCCUGCAUGUAGCAGGUGCAUUGGAAGAGCCAGCCGAAUGACUGGGGCCAUGGCCAGGUCAGCAGCUGUCACUCCUGCCUGGGGGACAGAGGCUUCUGAGGCCCCCUGGGCCUUCAGGUCUCAGAGGACCCCUCACAGCUGCCUCCCAGGGACCACACUUCUGCUGGUCCCUCCUCCACCCCCAGACAGGGAACCACCCAUGCCAGUGUGGGAGCCACCUCGGAGUCCACGGUUAUGACAAGGCGAGGCCAGGAUGAGAGGCACAUUUCAGGUGGGCAUUUGGGGCAGGUGGCAGCUGUUGGAGGCUGUCCUCCUCUCCAGGCCCCCAGCCAGGACACCAGUGUGACACUUAUGGCCCCUCUCACCUCUCGGAUUCUAGAACCUCGAGGUCAGGAACCACGACGUAGCCUACGCUCAGGAACGACCUGUCCUCCGAGGGCCGGCUUCCGCUUUCCUGCAGGUACGGGGAGUUAGGGCAAAGCCCUGCCCACUCACUUUUCCACUGCCCGCCUACCUCUGGACCCGCCCAUCUGUUUAUCAUCCUUCUAGCCAACACCUCCAUCACCUGCCCGAAGGUACGCAGCUAUUCCAGCAGGCUACCCGAUGAGCACGCAGGCGUCCAUCCUGCCAUCCGACCACCGUUCCACCUGUUCACCCACCAGCAUCCUCCAUCCAUCGUCCAUCAACCCAGGCAGCCUCCACCCGCCCACUGUGUGGUUCCUCUGUCUAUCCUUUGAU
rnacentral:lncRNA from 1 species